rnacentral:rRNA from 1 species
GCCCCACCCACCUAGAGGAGCCUGUUCUAUAAUCGAUAACCCCCGCUUAACCUCACCACUUCUUGCCAAUACCGCCUAUAUACCACCGUCGCCAGCCCACCCCGUGAGGGAAAUAGUAGGCACAAUGAUAAGUCACCAAAACGUCAGGUCAAGGUGUAGCGUAUGAAGUGGAAAGAAAUGGGCUACAUUCUCUAACCUAGAGCACACGAAAAAUCAUAUGAAAUUAGAUUAGAAGGAGGAUUUAGUAGUAAAAAGAAACAAUAGUGUUCUUUUUAAGUUGGCCCUGGGGCGCGCACACACCGCCCGUCACCCUCUUCAACUAAUAAAACACAAUUUAUAAAACACAAAACAAACACAAGAAGAGGUAAGUCGUAACAUGGUAAGUAUACCGGAAGGUGUGCUUGGAAUUA